CAGGUGCUGCAUGGCUGUCGUCAGCUCGUGUUGUGAAAUGUUGGGUUAAGUCCCGCAACGAGCGCAACCCUUAUCCUUUGUUGCCAGCGGUCCGGCCGGGAACUCAAAGGAGACUGCCAGUGAUAAACUGGAGGAAGGUGGGGAUGACGUCAAGUCAUCAUGGCCCUUACGACCAGGGCUACACACGUGCUACAAUGGCGCAUACAAAGAGAAGCGACCUCGCGAGAGCAAGCGGACCUCAUAAAGUGCGUCGUAGUCCGGACUGGAGUCUGCAACUCGACUCCAUGAAGUCGGAAUCGCUAGUAAUCGUGGAUCAGAAUGCCACGGUGAAUACGUUCCCGGGCCUUGUACACACCGCCCGUCACACCAUGGGAGUGGGUUGCAAAAGAAGUAGGUAGCUUAACCUUCGGGAGGGCGCUUACCACUUUGUGAUUCAUGACUGGGGUGAAGUCGUAACAAGGUAACCGUAGGGGAACCUGCGGUUGGAUCACCUCCUUACCUGAAAGAA
rnacentral:rRNA from 1 species